rnacentral:rRNA from 1 species
UACGUAGGGUGCAAGCGUUGUCCGGAAUUAUUGGGCGUAAAGAGCUCGUAGGCGGUUUGUCGCGUCUGCUGUGAAAACCCGAGGCUCAACCUCGGGCCUGCAGUGGGUACGGGCAGACUAGAGUGCGGUAGGGAGAUUGGAAUUCCUGGUGGUAGCGGUGGAAUGCGCAGAUAGUCGAGGAGGAACACCGAUGGCGAAGGCAA